rnacentral:rRNA from 1 species
AUUGAACGCUGGCGGCAUGCUUUACACAUGCGAGUCGAACGGUAACAGGCCUUCGGGUGCUGACGAGUGGCGCACGGGUGAGUAAUGCAUCGGAACGUACCCAGAGGUGGGGGAUAACGCAGCGAAAGCUGUGCUAAUACCGCAUGUGAUCUGAGGAUGAAAGCGGGGGACCGAGCAGCAAUGUUUGGCCUCGCGCCUUUGGAGCGGCCGAUGUCGGAUUAGCUAGUUGGUGGGGUAAAGGCCUACCAAGGCGACGAUCCGUAGCUGGUCUGAGAGGACGACCAGCCACACUGGGACUGAGACACGGCCCAGACUCCUACGGGAGGCAGCAGUGGGGAAUUUUGGACAAUGGGCGCAAGCCUGAUCCAGCAAUGCCGCGUGCGGGAAGAAGGCCUUCGGGUUGUAAACCGCUUUUGGCAGGAACGAAACGGUGUCCGCUAAUACCGGGCGCUAAUGACGGUACCUGCAGAAUAAGCACCGGCUAACUACGU